CAAGUACGCGGGUUCCGCAUCCGCGGAUUCAACCAAUUGCCAAUAGUAAAGGUAGUACUAUAAGAUCCGAGGCUGGUUGAAUCCGUGGAUGCGGAACUCGCAGCUAUGGGUAUGGACCCCCGACUGUAUUUGCUGUUUUGAAACUGUGCUGCGUGUAGCUUCUGCAGGGACCUCUGAGCACUAAGGGAUUUAAAUCGUUAGUAGAAGGCCUAGGAAAAUAGGGCUUUGAGGGGCUGCCCCAAAACCCUUUCUGUAAGUAGGACCAAGGAUAAAAAUGGAGGGACUAUGCUUCAAUUUAAGUGGUUUCACGUGCUCAAGAGGCACCUCCCAUAUAUGGCCUCAAGUUGCCUCCGGAUUGAUUAGUUACUUAAAACAAGAGGAAUAUUCCUCAGGUGGCCCGUUUCUGAGGUAAAGAAAGCCAUGGUGGAGACAGACGGUCAACACGCCUGCUUACACGGGAUCGUGGGUGCUGCAUGACUAGAAAGAACCCACGUUUAAUUAGGAACUACGGAGAAUGGAAGUUAAGAGGUUGUCACAUACUCCAUGGGAAAGAAAAACAAGAUAAGACCUGAUUUGCUAUGUCCUUCUCAUCCAGUCAUCCCUGGCAUCAGCAUCUUCCUGGAAUUUACAUAGAGGAAGGAGAAGAUAAAGGAAAAAAGCCAACAUUGACCUCUAUCCAGCAUCCAGCCCACUCGCCUUCUGCCUGGGGACUGCUGAUGGUACUGUCAGCUGUUCAAAGAGCUCUGCCUGUUUAUUGAUGAGCUGUCUAAAAGAUUCAACAGGUAAAUUUUGAAUGAAUAACUUAAAAUGAUUAUUUUGUGGGACAAUAAAGUAUUACCUUAUCCGGUACACCUUGACAUCUUCACCAGAUCCUGCUCCUGUAUGUGCCAAAGAUUUCAAGGACUGAAUCAUAAACAUCAUCCUCCCAACCUUCUGUCCAUCUAUCCAUCCAUCCGUUCAUCCAUCCAUUCAGCAUAUUUUGAGCACCUGCUGUGUCCUUUGUUUUGCACUAGACACCAAGGUUACAAAGAAUUAGAAAAACCUCUGACUUCAAGAAGUUCUCAGUAGUCUAGGGGGGAAAUAGAUACCAAAUAAUUAAAAUAAACUGUGGAUGAUGUGUUAUGGAAACUAGAAGGGGAAGCACAUAGCUAUGGCUUCACAAAAAAGGUGACUUUUAAUCUGAGUUGAGGAUAAAUGGGUGCUCUGCGUAUGGAGAAUGAAGAGAAAGAAAGACAGCCAUUGAUUGAACUCUGCUAUGUGGCAGGCUCCAGAAUAGGAUUUAUUUGAUGUAAGAACAUUCAGUUAACCCUGGGAGCAGACUUAUCAUCUCCACUUUAUAGAUGAAACUCAAGAUCAGAGAGAGGAAGCAACUCUAUCAAGAUUACAUGGGCGGUGCUCUAAGAGCUGAAACAUAAGCCCAAAUCUGCAGAAUCAAAAGGCUCAUAGUUAGUUCCACUAUGAUAUCCUGGCAGAGAGGAUGAUUUUUCAAAACAUUGCUUAACAUUAACAGAGAUGGGAAAAUAGGGACAAGAAUGACUCCCAGCUGUGAAGCAAGAAAAGUGUAUCUCAUCUUUGUCACUAGCUGCUGUGGCUCAGUGUGGUUGCCCUGUUCCAAACUAAAGAAAUAUUCCUCGAUCUGAACUUUUUCAGUCUUCUCAACAGCAACAUUAACCUGUCAUAUUUUCCAUAGUCUCAAAGCCACUUGUUCUGCCACUUUGUUAGUGAAACUGACAGUUUUAAAUAGGCUAAUCUGUAAACAAAUCAGGAUAAAUUUCCCAACCUGCUAUCUUUAGGACAUCAAAAUCAUUUUUUCUAGCUUAUCAAUUCCCAAUAAAAAUAUAAAGGGAGUUAC
ensembl:lncRNA